rnacentral:misc_RNA from 1 species
GAAAUGCGAUAAGUAAUGUGAAUUGCAGAAUUCAGUGAAUCAUCGAAUCUUUGAACGAACAUUGCGCCCGCCAGUAUUCUGGCGGGCAUGCCUGUUCGAGCGUCAUUACAACCCUCAGGCCCCCGGGCCUGGCGUUGGGGAUCGGCGGAAGCCCCCUGCGGGCACAACGCCGUCCCCCAAAUACAGUGGCGGUCCCGCCGCAGCUUCCAUUGCGUAGUAGCUAACACCUCGCAACUGGAGAGCGGCGCGGCCACGCCGUAAAACACCCAACUUCUGAAUGUUGACCUCGAAUCACGUAGGAAUACCCGCUGAACUUAAGC